rnacentral:rRNA from 1 species
GAUCGACGCUGGCGGCGUGCAUAACACAUGCAAGUCGAACGAUGAAGCUUAAAAGAUUUCUUCGGAAUGAACUUAAUUGGAUUAGUGGCGGACGGGUGAGUAACGCGUGAGUAACCUGCCUUGUACAAGGGGAUAGCCGUUGGAAACGACGAAUAAUACCCUAUGACAUCAAAUAAUCGCAUGAUAAUUUGAUCAAAGAUUUAUCGGUAUAAGAUGGACUCGCGUCUGAUUAGCUAGUUGGUAGAGUAAAAGCCUACCAAGGCAACGAUCAGUAGCCGGCUUGAGAGAGUGUACGGCCACAUUGGGACUGAGACACGGCCCAGACUCCUACGGGAGGCAGCAGUGGGGAAUUUUGCACAAUGGGGGAAACCCUGAUGCAGCGACGCCGCGUGAUUUAGAAGGCCUUCGGGUUGUAAAAAUCUUUUGUAUGGGAAGAAAAUGACAGUACCAUACGAAUAAGGACCGGCUAAUUACGUG